UUAAAUCCUUUUCCGAGUCCCAAGAGAGAGGGGGAAAAAAUAGAAAACAGUUUGACCUACAUUCACAGGAAGAAUUCUUGAGUUAGCAAGUUCCAACCAGUUUUCCAAAUUAAAGCUCAGCGAGAACUGGCUCACUUCCCCCAAACAAAUAAACAACAACAAAUGACAAAAAAAGAAAAUAAUCAUUUCUUUGGAACCUACGUGAGCAGUGCCAAGAACACAACCGUGAGGCAUGGAAAUGGACAGCGAAGGGCUCAUUUAGGACCCCUCCCGUGACUCCAUGGACCAGCAGGAGGCAGAAGCCCAGCAGCUGCGGGAUCAAGAGUUUUGGGAUUAUGCCCCAAACCAAUCGGCUUCAGAACCACUUCUUGUCCCUGGGAUAAAGGACUGCGAAAGGACAGGCCCUCAAAUAGCAAUACUUGAGACUGGAGAUAAAAGAAAGUAGCAAGGAAAAACUGAAAAAAUACUGAUUAACAUUUGUGCUCUGGGAACUCUUUCCUAUAUUCUAUACCCUCCAUGCUACUGGAAGAUUUUGGCGACAUCGACGUCUCCAUUAGUGUCCCGAGUCUGCAGAAGUCACUGCGCUGAAGACAUCGCCUCGUUAAGGCUCCUUCUGACCGCCAAGGCUCUACCUGAUCCCAGACCAAGACAUGGGACUAUGCCACGAACGACUGCUGGUGCUGGGUCUGAUCCUGCCGUGGGACUGGCAGGUGGAUCGGAUGGUUUCUAACGGCCAAUUCCUAAUUUUAUUUGAUCUCUAACCAACUAAUUGUAACUGACUCUAAUAAUAAUCCCAAUUAAUCAAUAUAUAGGGUACUUUUAGUCCUAAAGACUAGCUUUGGACAGAUGUUUGCAUCCCUAAUCUUUCACCUCAAGAAAAAGAUACCACGCUUACGGAUGCUGAUUCAGUGAAACUUCCCUGCUCAGCACAACACUGCAGCAGAUGUUCAUUUUUCAUCCGUUUUCAUCAUGGGCUUACAUGUUUUCCCAAAUCAGGGAUACCAAGAAGGGAACUGUAGAUACCCAAAGUGGAACUAUAUCAUCUCCUGAGCAUUUUGACAUUAUUAGGCUCAGCUUUUGGUAUCGAGCUUUGGUGUUUCAUUGCACCACAGACAAUUGGGAGUGGCUGGGCUAGGAGCCGCGUGUUUAUCAACAUUUUCACGUGCAAAUGGAGGCGGGUUCAUUUCUCCAGCUAGGAAAGACGCUGCUCAGCCCUAUUUCUUUUUAUGUAGUGUUUGCCCAGAGCAUCCUGUCCUGCCACUUCUGCCCAGGUCCUCAGCAUGGGAGCCACUCGCCGCAUGGCACUUCUCCGUCGCGCCUCCUUUCUGAGACAGGACCAGAAUUUUUCCUUCUAACUCCUACACGCCUAUCCACAUACAUAACAGAAAGCUAAGCAAAUUUGCCCUCUGCCAUCUGCUUCCUCCCUGCUUCCAGUGAAGAUCCUAACCCUAACUCACCAUCUAGUCAUCAAGAGGCAAAGUCACAGAGCAAUCUGACUAUGUGAUUGGGGAAAUAAUGGUUUAUAGCAGCAGCCGCCUCAUCUGUUAUGUGAUAGUAAGGCUAAUUUCUCUGGAAGUUUAGCCUUGAGCAGAUAUCUGUCAUCCGGGAGAGCUUAUUGAUCCCUGAACAGAUUGCAGCCCCUCCUGCCGUGGACAAAUGUGGACAACCCAGUCUCAUUGCUAGCAUGAUUUCAGCAUAAUAAGAUGUUGUGUUUACCUCGGAUUUUCAUGAGAGUUAUUUGGUUAAACACUGACUCUUUAAUGAGUAAAAGAGUGGAAAAAAUUGCUUUUUAUUACGGGGGAGACUGGUCUGUAGCCCUGGGGGAUGUGUGUCAGCGUUACGCAGCAAAGCUGGGGCAGCGUGAGCACCACGAGCACCAUUCACGGACACGGUCGCAAGCUCCGGCUCCAAGAGUUGGACUCAGGUGCUUUAAAACAGCCGAGCAAACUCCUGCACGCAAAAGGUGGGAGCAAGAGAUCGGGGUGCAAGGGCCAGAGUCUGCCACACUUCAGCAAAUGGGAGCAUCUGCUGCAUGUAACAGAGCUGAUAAUGCCUUGUUAUACAAAAUGUGGGUGAUGCUCAACUGGAUGCAUUCAGAAACCUUUAAAAAUAUGUAUCAUCUCUCAGUGGUUUUCCUCUGACAAUCCAUUCACCCUUGUAGUGACCCAAAAUUUUUGCUGGCAUAGCUUUCCUCACUUCCAGACAGCUUGUGACCCGCUUAUUCCUCUUUCUUUAGUUUUGAAAUGUCACUCUCUAUAUUUUAAGAUGUCUUAAAAACGACUUCCCCUUUUUAGUGCCUUCUAUACAGUUUUCCAUCCUUUUCUUACCGCUUAGCAGUUUAGAAAUGUUUCCAUUACAAAGCAAAAUUGCAUCAAAAAUCACAAUCUGUUUGUUUAUAGGAGCAAUGUUCAUGGAUUCAGAGGAAAAAAAAAAAAAAAAAAGAGGAUAUUUGGUCAUACAAAACUCACCACACAGAAAUUUUGUUUCAGCUGCACCUUAACAAAUAUUUGCCUGCCGAAGUUUCUGCUCAUGGGAGCGUGUGGAGUAGUGCGGCUCCCUCCAGUGCGGGGCUGCAACGUGGUGCCUGCGAGGAGGAGGAGGAGGAGGAGGGGGACCCGGAGCUGCUGCUCGGGUGCUGACUCUGCCCAUUCCCCGGGGCACGAGGGGAUGAAUCGCCUCGCCCUCCGCUCUCCGAUGAGGAAGAAGCCGCCGUGCCCUCAUGGGUCGCUGCGGGACGGAGGGGGCACGCCGUUAAUUAGCACGCGGUGAAUGUGAAUGCGAAGGAGCACUGGACAGGCCUGAAGGACGUCCCGUUUCGUUUCAAAGGAAAAUAAAAACUAGAGGUGCCAAUUUAGAUCAAGCGGAGAUUCUUCAGAUCGAAACAGGCCAGGUGCCUGCUAGGGGUAGAGCAAGAAGGGUGCCAGAGGGAAGGGAACUGGGUACGAAGGAUUGUGAACAUAUUUACAGCCAUCUGGCACCCUCUAAUUAUCCAAAUGACGAAGCUGCCUGAGUGCUCACCAAAAUGUGGAGAGUGAGGGAAGGAAGGAGUUUGUUUGGGCAGAGGAUCUUGAGUGCUUCAUGCUUUCAACGUAUGUUUUUUGGAAAUGUUUUAUAUCACUUACAAGAUUAUUUAUAUUACUGGAGAUGUAGGAAAAUGAUAGCAGAAGGACAUGGAAGGGCUUACUCCUUCUGGAGUUUUCCUUCCAGGUUUCUAAAAAUCAAGUCAUAGGAAAGAAAAGAUGCAGUUUCUUGGGAGGCAGCAUCAGGAAUCGGGAAAGCUUGAUUCCUUCUCAGCUGUUCCACUGACACGUCGUUAGCAUCAUCUGAAGUCUUGCAGUUUCUAGUUUCUUGCUGCAACACCUGGAACCGUGUUAUUUAGGAAAGAAAUCCCAAGUUUUAGAACUACAGAGGAAACAUUUGAAAACAACAUCGUGCUGCUUACUCACAAAGUAACAAGGAAAAUUAAAGUUUAUGUUUUUUAAACACCACUAUUAUGCUUUUAUUGGACUUACUGAUGAUUAUUGAAUGUCUGGAUUCGCCAGUUGUGUUAUCUUUAAAUUGCUUUGCUUUGUUGUGCUUUCUUUCUGUGAAUCGACGGUUUUGACUUCUUUUGUUGGUUUUAUCACUGUCCAGCUGGGAGGACAUGGAUAAGAGCUUGCAGCUCAGCUCCUUCUUUAGAAUGAAACUAACCUCUCCCACCUGUGAGAGUUUUAGUUUUAAACUGCUCUACAGAAAUGCAAGCAGCAGUGCAAUUCUUGGGUUGCAAUUACAGUACAUCCCUUUGCCUGACAGGAGUGAAUAGGAAAAAGCAGUCAUUUAAUGUGAAAUCUUGAGUAUGUUUUUAUCGUCUUUUUGAUCUGGGAGAUAUCAUAAAGUCAAACACCGUGGUGUGAUAUUUUUAAAGGCUGAAUAAUUUUAUGACCACUAAUAACAUCUGCUGUUCCGCCUUUUAAGAGAAGGGUAAUCAAAUUUCAUGCUUCAGGGUAUUAACUGAUCACGGCAAGUACCCAAAUCAGCUCUUUAUUUUAUUCUUCUAUCAGGAGCUAAGCAGUAUGGGCUGCGUGGUCUCAGUCUCGUUCAGCUGGGAACUGGACUCUAAUGACAAAUUAUUUGUUCUGGCAUGGUAAGAAGUAAGGUACUGGACUUAAAAUUUGAUAUUUACGGUUGCUCACAUACCACAAAAGAUACCAAAGUAUCCAUCACGUCCUCUGUAAGAUCUGUAUUUUUCUUUCUCCUUAGUGGUUCGAGCACACCUCGCCUGUAGUCCUGUGUGCAUUACAUUAAACCAGCACGGGUACUGCCAUGGGAGCUCACCUCGGAAGGCUUCUGCUCCCUGAAAUACAGCUCCCUGGGCUGAGCAGGAUGGUGGCUGUAGCCAUUUGUAAACGAGCACUGCAGAAACGAGAAUUAAAUCAGGAUUCAAUACCCAGCACAGAAAUAAAAGAUGAGCAUUAGCUAAACAGUGCUCAGCAGCUCUGAUAGGGAAGAACAGGUCUGAGGACAGCACGGUGCGGUUAGGGAAGAAAGCCAUCUCCUCUGGCAGGAAAACAAUGGAGCUUCGUGUUCAAAUGUUUUGAAUGGGAUGUCAAACCAAGGCUUCGGCGUGCUUGUCAUCAGGAAACUUUCUGUGGUACCUCAUGUGAGAGCAGACAUAAUGAACACCAUGUUCUGUCAGCUUCCGACCACAGAUUUCUUGCAUUUUCUGUCUUUGAUUUCUUACUACACUUAAUAAAAUUGCUUUUCACUUUCCUGCCCACGUGCUCUUCAUGUUCGUAGUGAGCCAUAACUUCUAUACAGCAUUUUCUGCCUCCCAGUCAUUAUAUCCUUGUCAUUAUAGCCAUUUAUGCCAGAUUUCUUUUUUGAAUACAUUUUUCAAAAUGCAUUUCUUUCCUUUUUAUACAUUUCUUUUAUUUUUUUGGAUAGUUUGCAUAAGUUCUUGGGUGUUGCAGCAUGGAUGUAUUUUUUUGUCCCCCCCCCCCGCUUUCUGUUACAGUUCCUUUCUUGUCUUCUGGCAAGUUUGACUUCUCUCUUUUUUUUGGUCUUUUAUGGGAUGUUGCCAGAAACGCUGAGCCAAAGCAGUUUCAUUUCCUCAAUUUUGACCUGAUCUUUUUGACUCAUCUACAACAAAUAAAAAUAAUUUUCAUUCUA